GAAGAAGCAGGAAGUUUGAAGAAAAGUGGACCCAAGUGGAGCGCUGGUUAUUUACCAAACUGAGCAGCACACGUUCUUUGUGACUGUGUGCUGCAUGCAGUAGAUGUACAAUAAAGACAACUGAUUGAAGAUGAUUACAUGGGUCAAGAUGAAGUCACCAGUAAUGAGAAGCUGGGAAGAGUGGGAGAAGUGCUUAGUACAGUGCAUUGUACACAAAAGCUGGUUGGCCAAGAGGAAUUCAGGGCUUUAAGAAGAGAACCUGAAAGCAUCCAAAGUUCACUUUUUCCCCACUGCUUUUGUACCUGAAGGAACAAGGAACAAGAAAAGGACAUCUUUUGAGAACUAAAACAGGUUCCCUUGUGGCGGAACAUGUACCGGAUGAGGAACACGAGAGUGCAAAGGAUGGUGAAGAUCACCACGGCGAUCACGCCUGUCGGAGAGAGAGAGAAGCCCCAGACAGAACUCACACGGCCGCGUACCUUGAAGGAACCGACCAGCCGGACCGUUGCCGGAGAAACUCGUCAACGACCUCUCCAACUGGAACUACUCCCCUCCAGAAACAGUCUCCUGCGAGCAGAUGGUCUCUGUGAGCAGGGAAAAAGUCACUAGGACGCUCUCUGUGAGCCGGGAAUACGUCACCACGUUGCGAUGCAUCUCCCGGGAGUCCAGCCCAACGCACCGCACCAAGUGGGUCUUCGAUAAAUGCUACUUCCGCCACUGAGCCCCGGGCCAGCUCUGGGCUACCUCAGCCGGAGCUGCCGAGCCAACUAGAUGGCUGGGACUCAUUAUGGGACGUGUUUUCUGGCUGUAUCCUGCUCACUGUACUCUCUCAGGUACUCGGCACAGUGUCCUGUGAUGCUAAGUGUUAAAUAAAAAACAUUUGGUGGCUCAUUGAUUCUCUGCACCUCCCUGCCCUUUCAAGGGUUUUCCAGUUGAUCCAAUGGGAGGGAGCUCUUUCCCCCUAUCCCGGCUUGUCCAUGAGCUACAGUAGUACCGCCCCCGCCCGCAGUCUCUGCAAGUGCUGGUGACCUCGGAGACCGGACACGCCCCUGACUUGCCCCCGACACGCCUCCGGACAUGCCCCGGACACGUCACCCAGAUAUGCCUCCGGAUAUGCCUCUGGGCACGCCCCUGUACACACCUCUGGACACGCC